GCGUGAUUGGCGCAGUGGUAGCGCGCUUCGUUCACACCGAAGAGGUCACUGGUUCGAACCCAGUAUCACGCACCA
rnacentral:tRNA from 35 species